AUGAAAGAAUCUGAUCAGACGCACCCAACAAUUAAGUCCUUUCUUUCUAAAGGACUUCUUGCUUCAAGAAGUCCUUUCUUUCUAAAGCUUUUCUCAAAUGGCAUGAAAGAAUCUGAUCAGACGCACCCAAUAAUUAGGAUUGCUGAUUCAGAGGAAAAUGCCUUUAUGGAGCUUUUAAGAUAUAUGUACAGUGGAAAGUUGACAACAACGGAGCCCAGUCUAUUGCUCGACAUCUUGAUGGCUGCAGACAAAUUUGAGGUUCUCUCUUGCGUGGGGCAUUGCAGUCAGCUGCUCACAAGCUUGCCUAUGACCACAGAAUCUGCACUGCUUUACCUAGACCACCCUUGCUCGACUUCAUUAUUGGCUGAGGUCGAGGGUGUGAUCUGCGCAGCCAAGGAAUUCCUUGCCAACAAAUACAAUGAUUUUGCUAAGUUCCAGCAUGAACUGAUGAACUUCCCUCUUGCUGGGAUUGAAGCCAUCUUGUCAAGUACUGACCUACAAGUAAUACGGGAAGAUUGCAUAUAUGCCUUUAUGCUCACAUGGGCCCGUGAACGAUACCCAGAAUUGGAGGAAAGACGCGAGAUCUUGAGUUCUCGUUUACUGCCACUGGUACGCUUCAGUCAUAUGACAUGUACAAAACUUCAGGAGAUCCUAGCAUGCAGCGAUGAUGAUAUAGACCAUGAGAAAGUAACUAAACGUAUUGCCGAGGUACUUCUACAAAAAGCUUACCCAAAACAGAUGGAAGGUGCUCUUGCAGCAGACGCAACAACCUGUUGGCAAUUUACUGAGCGAGAGUACAAGUACAAACCUGUGAAAUUGGUUACUUUUGAUCGACCCUGCCCACAGGUUAUCGCUUACCUGGAUCUAACACGCGAGGACUGCUCCCGACUCUUCCCUUCUGGACAUGCAUGUUCACAUGACUUCCGGCUUGCAGGGUGGAAGGGGAGCAUUUAUCUCAGCCCAGUCUGUACAAUGAAUGAGCAGAGUAAGUUGUCCACCUUUGGUCUCCAGUUAAUUGGAUUCGGUUCCACAGAUUUGACAGUGGAUAUUGAGUUUGCUGCAAGGACAAGAUCGUCCGGAAAAUUUGUGAGCAAGUACAGUUGUAAGCACACCUUCACCAGUGCUUGGUUGAAAAAAUGUGAUGAUCUUUUUGGCGUUCCAUGGUCGGCGUUCAUUGCCGAUGACAACCUCUUCAUCGACGGUGUGCUGCAUCUGAGAGCUGAUUUGGCGGCGGUCCAGCAGACGGAGUUUCACGCUUGA
rnacentral:rRNA from 1 species